rnacentral:rRNA from 1 species
AUGCAAGUCGAGCGAGGAGAUCCUCGGGAUGAUCCUAGCGGCGGACGGGUGAGUAACACGUGGGCAACCUGCCUCAUAGAGAGGAAUAGCCUUCCGAAAGGGAGAUUAAUACCUCAUAACAUUGCAGUUUCGCAUGGAACAGCAAUUAAAGGAGCAAUCCGCUAUGAGAUGGGCCCGCGGCGCAUUAGCUAGUUGGUGAGGUAACGGCUCACCAAGGCGACGAUGCGUAGCCGACCUGAGAGGGUGAUCGGCCACAUUGGGACUGAGACACGGCCCAGACUCCUACGGGAGGCAGCAGUGGGGAAUAUUGCACAAUGGGGGAAACCCUGAUGCCAGCAACGCCGCGUGAGUGAUGACGGCCUCCGGGUUGUAAAGCUCUGUCUUCAGGGACGAUAAUGACGGUACCUGAGGAGGAAGCCACGGCUAACUACGUGCCAGCCGCCGC